rnacentral:rRNA from 1 species
CGUAACAAGGUUUCCGUAGGUGAACCUGCGGAAGGAUCAUUAUUAAAAAGUUAAUGGAGUGCACUUUAUUGUGGCUCUAUCUCUCUUUUUCCAAUUCACCCCAAAAAACCCAAAACUGUUAUGUGUACCAUUUAUUUUGGUAUAGCAUUCCAGUAGUACGCAUCAUGUGGAUUUUUAUUCACAAGUUGCAUUACCACCCCUUUAUAAGUGACCCUUUUUUAUUUUUUUAUUUAAUAAAAACAAUAAAUCUCUGAAAAGGUUUUAGGAAUGUAAACCCCCUUAAGUUAUAUAUAACUUUUAACAAUGGAUCUCUUGGCUCUCACAUCGAUGAAGAACACAGUGAAAUGUGAUAAGUAAUGUGAAUUGCAGAAUUCAGUGAAUCAUCGAAUCUUUGAACGCACCUUGCACCUUUUGGUUAUUCCGAAAGGUACGCCUGUUUGAGUGUCAUGAAAACCUCUCAUUCCAAUUCUUUAUAAAUUUUAAAUUAAAAUGAUAAAGGGUUGUGAUAUGGAUGUUGAGUGCUGCCGUUAUUUGGCUCACUUCAAAUUUAUAAGUACUUUUAUUGAAGAAAUAAAUGGAUAUUUACUCAGUGUAAUAUUAAUUAUUCAUUGAGGAGUGGAGUCAUUAUAACUUCAGCCAUUUGAAUAUUCAAUAAAUAGCUUCCCAACUUUCAAUUUAUUUUUUUCUCUUUUAGACCUCAAAUCAGGUGGGACUACCCGC